rnacentral:rRNA from 1 species
UACGUAAGUUGUUGCAGUUAAAAAGCUCGUAGUUGGAUCUCAGGCUUGUGGCCGGUGGUCCGCUCGAUACGGGUGUGCACUGCCGUGUCCGGCCUACGUCUGGUCUAACGUCCAUAGUGCCCUUAACCGGGUGCUAUGGAAUGCCAGAAAGUUUACUCUGAAAAAAUUAGAGUGCUCAAAGCAAGCCGUUUGUGCUUGAAUACUGUUGCAUGGAAUAAUGGAAUAGGACCUCGGUUCUAUUUUGUUGGUUUUCGGAGUCGAGGUAAUGAUUAAGAGGGACAGACGGGGGCAUUCGUAUUGCGCCGUUAGAGGUGAAAUUCUUGGAUCGGCGCAAGACGAACAACUGCGAAAGCAUUUGCCAAGGAUGUUUUCAUUAAUCAAGAACGAAAGUCAGAGGUUCGAAGACGAUCAGAUACCGUCGUAGUUCUGACCAUAAACGAUGCCAACUGGCGAUCCGCCGCAGUCUGGCUUAAAGGACUCGGCGGGCAGCCUCCGGGAAACCUAAGUCUAUGGGUUCCGGGGGAAGUAUGGUUGCAAAGCUGAAACUUAAAGGAAUUGACGGAAGGGCACCACCAGGAGUGGAGCCUGCGGCUUAAUUUGACUCAACACGGGAAAACUCACCCGGCCAGGACACC